UACGGAGGGUGCAAGCGUUGUCCGGAUUUAUUGGGCUUAAAGGGUGCGUAGGCGGCCCGGUAAGUCAGUGGUGAAAGCCUCCAGCUCAACUGGAGAACUGCCAUUGAUACUGCCGGGCUUGAGUACAGACGAGGUUGGCGGAAUUGAUUGUGUAGCGGUGAAAUGCAUAGAUACAAUCAAGAACUCCGAUUGCGUAGGCAGCUAACUAGGCUGUAACUGACGCUGAGGCACGAAAGCGUGGGGAGCGAACAGG
rnacentral:rRNA from 1 species